rnacentral:rRNA from 1 species
AGUGAACGCUGGCGGUAGGCCUAACACAUGCAAGUCGAACGGCAGCACAGUAAGAUCUUGCUCUUACGGGUGGCGAGUGGCGGACGGGUGAGGUAUACAUCGGAAUCUACUUUUUCGUGGGGGAUAACGUAGCGAAACUUACGCUAAUACCGCAUCCGACCUACGGGUGAAAGCAGUGGAUCUUUUGACCUUGCGCGGUUGAAUGAGCCGAUGUCGGACUAGCUAGUUGGCGGGGUGAAGGCCCACCAAGGCGACGAUCCGUAGCUGGUGUGAGAGGAGGAUCAGCGGCACUGGAACUGAGACACGGUCCAGACUACUACGGGAGGCAGCAGUGGGGAAUAUUGGACAAUGGGCGCAAGCCUGAUCCAGCCAUACCGCGUGGGUGAAGAAGGCCUUCGGGUUGUAAAGCCCUUUUGUUGGGAAAGAAAAGCAGCAGGUUAAUACGCCGCUGGUCUGACGGUACCCAAAGAAUAAGCACCGGCUAACUUCGUG